GCCCGAGUAGCCCAGCGGAAGAGGCAAACGACUUAAAAUCGUUCAAGCGCGGGUUCAAAUCCCGCCUCGGGUA
rnacentral:tRNA from 1 species